rnacentral:rRNA from 1 species
UACGUAGGAUGCAAGCGUUGUCCGGAUUUACUGGGCGUAAAGCGCGCGCAGGCGGCACUCUAAGUACGUCGUGAAAUCUCCUUGCUCAACGGGGAGGGUGCGAAGUAGACUAGGGAGCUAGAGGUCGGUAGAGGGGGUGGAAUUGCUGGUGUAGCGGUGAAAUGCGUAGAGAUCAGCAGGAACACCCGUGGCGAAGGCGGCCCCCUGGGCCGUACCUGACGCUGAGGCGCGAAGGCUAGGGGAGCGAACAGG